UAGGGAAUCUUCCACAAUGGACGCAAGUCUGAUGGAGCAACGCCGCGUGAGUGAAGAAGGUUUUCGGACCGUAAAGCUCUGUUGUUGGUGAAGAAGGAUAGAGGUAGUAACUGGCCUUUAUUUGACGGUAAUCAACCAGAAAGUCACGGCUAACUACGUGCCAGCAGCCGCGGUAAUCGUAGGUGGCAAGCGUUGUCCGGAUUUAUUGGGCGUAAAGCGAGCGCAGGCGGAAGAAUAAGUCUGAUGUGAAAGCCCUCGGCUUAACCGAGGAAUUGCAUCGGAAACUGUUUUCUUGAGUGCAGAAGAGGAGAGUAGAACUCCAUGUGUAGCGGUGGAAUGCGUAGAUAUAUGGAAGAAUACCAGUGGCGAAGGCGGCUCUCUGGUCUGCAACUGACGCUGAGGCUCGAAAGCAUGGGUAGCGAACAGGAUUAGAUACCCUGGUAGUCCAUGCCGUAAACGAUGAGUGCUAAGUGUUGGGAGGCUUCCGCCUCUCAGUGCUGCAGCUAACGCAUUAAGCACUCCGCCUGGGGGAGUACGACCGCAAGGUUGAA
rnacentral:rRNA from 1 species